ensembl:snoRNA U3 Small nucleolar RNA U3
AAGACUAUACUUUCAGGAUCAUUCUAUAGUUCUUGACUUGAGAAAUGUGUUUCUAAAGUGUUUGGUCUCGCUACCCACGAUGAUGAGAUGUGAUAUUCCCUUCUGAGCAUGAAGCGCUCAGGGAGUAAUGAUUCAGUUCAUAUGCUCUCUGUUCUUGAUGACUGUUCUUUGCUCUUCUGACAGAGCAAUGAGGGAGGGGAUAUAAUCAGAGUGGU